GACGCUUCUACUUGAUCGUCAAAACAAGUGACGCGCGACGCAACACAUCCCCCUAGCUGCCGCGUCACAAUGAUUCCGAGCCCCGCGGGAUCCGCGUUCAUUUUCCGUUCCGGUUUUGGGAACAUCCGCGCGCGCGGUGGGACGAGAGAAAGAAUAACCAAAGGCGAACGGAGGGAGACUCCGAUCGAACGAAAAACGGACCCAGAAGAAUCGCGAGCUCGCUGAAAGUCGACGAAGAAAAUAGCGAGCGAAAGAAAAAGAGAGAGGGUACGUGAAAUUUCGAUAAACACGAACUCCCCUUUCAACCCCAAAGUUCGGAGAAUUGGCGUCGACCUUGUUAUUUACAUACGUGAUCACGUACAGUACCUGCCGGUCACGCAGAGGACCCUCUAAGGAGUUUCAACGGAAACACAAAUACGCCCGCAUUACGUACAAAAUAAUUGAAGAAACAACGUCGCUGGAUCCAUUCACAGUUAAUUUCGUACAGCUCCCAUUUGGACGUAUAAUUUGUCAUCGUAUUGGUGAGCAACGCGCGUGAGGAACAUCGAUCUUUUGGAUAUCCAAGGAAUUUAAACGCUAGAAAUACCUCCGUGCAUAUCGUAUAUUACCUACGGAGGUGCAUCAGCUCGGACGAGUAUGUGUGCACGUAUGGGAGGUGGAGGUUUUACAAUAUACAGCGGUGUGCGGACCAGAAUGUACAUGAAUUACUUACCGGAUUGUACGUACGUGUACGGCCACACGUACGUUAUUACAGAAUUACGAAGACGUAGUGGAGAGGGAGGAGUUUGAGAAGGGAAGACCUAAAACUCCUCCACACUCUCAUUGUCGUCCGAUGCAAAGUAAAAUUACAGGUAAAUAUGCCGUAUUAUUCCGCAAAACGCUACGGGGCACCAACAUUACAAAAAUAAAACUAAACAACUAUUGAAAAAAUAUUAUAUAUAUACACCGGCAUCGGGACGAACUUCGAGUUGAGGUAUUAUAAUACACCACAGUACGUACCCCAUAGCGGAGGAUUAUAUCAACUAUUUCCAUUGUACACCCUUUAUUUUUAUUUGGAUUAAUUUCUUUUUUUCUCUCUUCAUUUCUGCGCCUCCAGCGCCAUAGUUCUUAUAUGGUUCCCCGCGGGACACGGAGCAGGGUUUGAACGUUAUUUUCUUUUUCAAAUAAUUUUCAACUGACCGAGUCCGCCUUUUUUUUUUCUUUUUCUGGUUUCUCUUUUCGUCGCUAGACACUUAUUCGACCUACGUUUCAUUUUUCCGCGGCACGUCGUUUCAUAACCGCCCCCAGUUUCUCGGCGUCUUUUUCCUACCAAAAAAGCUUCCGCUACGUACGGGGACCGGAGUAAAGACGGUGGCCGAGUGGUAUAACUUGACCAAUUUCUGGCGCUCGCCUAGCAUUUUUAUAAACUCUCGAUCCUCACGCGCACAAUCCACUCCUCUCUACCCUAUUUUACAACGGUACCCAAAAAAAAAAAGGAACAAGAAAAAGAGAGAAGAAAAAAAUUGCUGCAGGAAUCCGCGACUAGCUGUCCAAAUGCUGACGUAGGGAUUUUUCUUUCCCCAUCGAUACCCAGCUACGUGGUGGUUGCCUCGUUUUAGGGCAAGUCGUUAUGAUUUUUUUAUAUAUUGUUUUUUUUUUGUUGGGUUUCUCGAGUCUUUUUUUCAACCGUUUUGUUUGUCAGGAGAAAAAGGAAACACCCUUGACGACAUCAAUCAGCUAGUUUCAUAUUCUUUUUUUGCUCCUCGUUCUUUUCUGCUGAGAUUUUUUUCUCUCCUUUUUUUUUUUCUUCAUUUUACCGCUUGAAAUAUUGAAUUACGAAAAGUUUAGCGAACGGAAUUUAGAAAUCUGUCAGUUAUUUCCAGAUUCCAUUUUACAAAAUGAGGGGAGGUUUCGGUAUACAUACAGCAAGGGAAGAAAAGAAAAUCUGCAUAAUUUUCGUUGUCGACUACGAAAGAAAGGGAGUGUAAUGAAAAAAAAAAAAAGAAAAAAAAAAAAAACUUAAAAAAAGGAAAAUUAAUAAAUGAAAUAACUAAAAAGAAAAUCAGAGUCGAAGAAGAAGGAGAAAAAAAAGCGAAUUGCACAGGGAGUUUUAACGGGUGCUUUUCAGACCGUUAGAGUUUGAAAUUCGUUUACUAAAUUGCAGUAGCAGAAGCAGCAGCAGUAGGAGCAAGAGCAAGCUAGCAAAAUGUACAUUAUACACAUAUAUAUAUAUAUGUAGUACAUAGCGAAGCUGAGGACGAGGUUCGAAUUGAAAUGUGUUAGCAGUGCGCCGUGGAAAAUGGAUUGAGACUUUAUGAUAACGACGUAAAACGGUUUUAUUUUUAUUGAAAGUAUACAGUUAUACAUUUACACAUACCGGCGCGAGGCUACGUUCAUAUAGGAAAACCUAGUCGAGUAGAAUUAUUUUACCUCUGAACUAUCAUUGCUAUUUGCUGUCUCAUUUCAUCCCCCGCAGCGUACGCGAGACUUAUAUACGCGGCUUUAAAUUUUUCACCUGUUUCUCAUUCCUUUUUUUAUCACCUCCAGCUCCCUAUCAUUCUUAUUUCCAUCUCUCUAUAUACCCAUCUACACGGUGGAACAAAAAACACCGACCUAUUCGAAACGUCGAUAAAAACCCUACCGCAAAACGAGGACUGGUAGAACCGGAAGCGACGAUACGCCAUUUUGUUGUUGCCAGUUUUCGUGGCGAGCGGCGGCCAUUUUGUAAACAACUAGAUUAGCACAAGAUGGCCGCCAAUGCUACGUUUAUUAAUUGAUUCUUCUUAAAAGCUUCUUCAUUAUCUUUACUCUUAUCGGAAGAAAAGACUUUUUGAGACUGGUUUCGAACGACUGCGUUCUCAGAUCGCUCAAUAUCUCGUUCUUUUAGUCCACACUGUAGAUUAUUCACAGCGGCAGGCGUAGGAAUCAUGUGUAGUGGAAAGUCUCCACACAACUGUAUGGGUGCCUAAGCUCGUGGUUGAGUUUCCGCGAUUUUCAACAUUAGAAUAUGAACGCGGUCCGCGAUUUUUGCUGAGCGAUUUCUCAAACUCCCCCUAUUCCACCUAAAAACUCCCGUGACUACUCGCGAGAAACGGCGUGGCGAACCCAACUCAGUGCACGCCAUUUCCCACGAAAAUUAUGCCCUCCCUGUAUUACAAAUAUAUAGAUAUGCCCGCGUACGAGGACGGUGUCACUCAUUUAC
rnacentral:lncRNA from 1 species